UACGAGUGCCCCGAGCGUUAUCCGGAAUUAUUGGGCGUAAAGAGCUUGUAGGCGGUUUGUCGCGUCUGCUGUGAAAUUUCGGGGCUCAACCCCGAACUUGCAGUGGGUACGGGCAGACUAGAGUGUGGUAGGGGAGACUGGAAUUCCUGGUGUAGCGGUGAAAUGCGCAGAUAUCAGGAGGAACACCGAUGGCGAAGGCAGGUCUCUGGGCCAUAACUGACGCUGAGAAGCGAAAGCAUGGGGAGCGAACAGG
rnacentral:rRNA from 1 species